GUAACUUCUUAGACAAAGCCUAGAAACAGUCUCAGGACAAUAACAAUUCUAUUCAAGAAAGAAUCUCCCAACAUUUCUUCUAUCUCAAUCUCAACUGCAUCUGCCUGUGAACUUCCAACUUACCAAAGCUCUGUAUCUUCUGACAGUGACAAAGGCUUCUUCCAUGGUUGGUAUAUGUAUUCAUUUCCUACCACAGUAGUGGAAGAGAGACUAUCACUGUCUUUAACAUUUCCAACAGUAAGCCAUGAGAUUCUGCUUGAAAUCACCUCUCAAACAAAUAAAAAACAGAACUGGGAAAGAUACUAUGCUCAUUCUGUUAAAGAAAUAGGGCAAGAAAGCUUUCUAAGACCCCGAACUCCAGAUAUGCGAUGGGGCAAAUCCUGAAGUGUACAUGGCUAUCUCUCACAGCUAAAGCAUCCCUCACCCCUAUCCAGCGCUUCUUACCCCUGGCGCAAGAGAAUCACCUGCGGGGAGGAAAACUUUCAAAAUCCCUUAAACUGAAGUUGUAACCGCUCAAUUAAAUCAGAAUCCUUGGAGCUGGAUCUGAAAAAAAAUAUGGUUGAAAG
rnacentral:lncRNA from 1 species